rnacentral:tRNA from 1 species
GAGGGUAUCAGUCACUGAUAGAGUGCAUGCUUAGCAUGCAUGAGGUCCUGGGUUCAAUCCUCAGUACCUCUA